rnacentral:rRNA from 1 species
UAGCGUAGGGGGCAAGCGUUGUCCGGAAUCGAUUGGGCGUAAAGCGCGUGUAGGCGGCCAGAUAAGUCCGCUGUGAAAUCUCGAGGCUCAACCUCGAGCUGUCGGUGGAAACUGUCUGGCUAGAGUCCGGAAGAGGAGAAUGGAAUUCCUGGUGUAGCGGUGAAAUGCGCAGAUAUCAGGAAGAACACCCGUGGCGAAAGCGGCUCUCUGGAACGGUACUGACGCUGAGACGCGAAAGCGUGGGGAGCGAACAGG